rnacentral:rRNA from 1 species
AUUGAACGCUGGCGGCAUGCCUUACACAUGCAAGUCGAACGGCAGCACGGGAGCAAUCCUGGUGGCGAGUGGCGAACGGGUGAGUAAUAUAUCGGAACGUGCCCAGUCGUGGGGGAUAACGUAGCGAAAGCUACGCUAAUACCGCAUACGAUCUACGGAUGAAAGCGGGGGAUCGCAAGACCUCGCGCGAUUGGAGCGGCCGAUAUCAGAUUAGCUAGUUGGUGGGGUAAAGGCCCACCAAGGCGACGAUCUGUAGCUGGUCUGAGAGGACGACCAGCCGCACUGGGACUGAGACACGGCCCAGACUCCUACGGGAGGCAGCAGUGGGGAAUUUUGGGACAAUGGGGGCAACCCUGAUCCAGCAAUGCCGCGUGAGUGAAGAAGGCCUCGGGUU